rnacentral:lncRNA from 1 species
UACUUUUGUAUUUGACCACGUAAGACAAUUGGAUGGGCACCUAAUAUAUUUCCUGGUACACUCCUAUUGUGGUUGGUCUUCUUUAUCUGUAUGUCUAUCUUGUUCAGUCUGCGCUUCAGCUUUGCAGGAAAAUAGAAAUUUUUUUUUCUGUGCUUGUUUAUGCUAACCAUGGUGCCUACAACUGCAUCUGCUGCCUUUACACGGGACUGCAAACCUGUUUUUUUCAACCUUCUGUUUUAUGGGUGUGCACACCCAUAAAUCUCCUGUGGCUGGGUUAAGGGAACAUACAAGCAGCUCUUCAGCAUUAAGAAUGUGAUGGGAGAGAUUCAGGUAGAUUUGAACUGCCAUCAUCAAUCAAGACCAAGGAGAAGGCUGCUUUCCAGGAUGUACACAUGGCCUCUGUUUGCUGUUGCUGUUUUGCUUCUUUUAAGAGCUCAACAGAACCCUGUAAUAUACAUGAACAAGUUUCUGGAAGUUAAGAGCAGGAAAUUCCACUGAAACAAAAUAGAACAUACCUUUAUGUUCUAUUGAGAGAGUGUGGAAGAAGAAAAUUCUGUAUUGGUUUUGACUAACAACAAGCUGCCGGAAGAUCUCUUUUUCUCCUACAGGUUAAUAAGGAGAAAAUUGAAAUUAGAAGCAUAAAGCAUUUUGUCAAGAUAUAACUAUGAAGAUAUUUUCAUUACUAAAUAUACAAAUAGGCCAGUUGCAGUGGCUCACACCUGUAAUCCCGGCAUUU